rnacentral:lncRNA from 1 species
CACCAAUCUUACGCCUUCUAGAAAGGGAGGAGACCUUUGCUUUCCUGCCGAACAAGGACAGCUGGGCCGGGCGUUCAGAGCUGGCCUUGUUUUUCCUGAUGCGUCACAGUGGUGGCCGGGUGGGGUUGGGGUUCGCAGGGGAGAUAGAGGCUGGUGGCCACUGGGGCUGCCAGUCUGGGUGUGAGGGUCCGAAGGUCAAGUCUGAAGUCGGAGGCCUGAGAAGCGGCAGAUACUGGGCGCUCCUGAACCCAAGCAGAGUAAGACAGGAUGGAAGAGACAGCGGCCGAGCCCCUCUGCUCCUGCUGGAGAUCAGCCUUGCAUGUGGGUCAGGCCUGGUGUGGCCCAAGGUCAUCUUCAGCGCUCAUGGCGGGCACACCCAGGCACUCACUCUGGACUCCCCAGUGUAGGGCGUGGCAGGGGGCCUCAUGGAACACGGGUCGGGGUGACACAGAACAGACCUGGCCUCCGCGACGCCGGAACAAGAGGCAGGGCAGGGUGAGGUUCGGAGGCCAGAG